UGGGGGCUUGGGAACAAAGAGAGUAACCCUGCCUGUGUCUACCUAAGGGGACUGGCAUUGUGACUUCACACUGGGCAGGUGACUUUAGUUGGUGCAUCUUGGAGAAUACCUGCCUACAGGAAGAUUCCCGACAAUGACUACAACAGCAAUUUACAUGGCGUUUGCAUCACAUUGAUGCUGUUGUCUAGCUACCUUCCUCUGAGAUUGGAACAUUCCAUCCUGCAGGGGAGCUCUUCAAAUGGGAAGGAACACCAACACCCUGAGCAUUAGCAUCCACUCUAUUUCUGUGAAAUAGCAGUUCGAUCACUCCUGAGGCCAAGUGGGGCAUGCAUUUGUCAGCAUCAUUUUCUCAUCUGCAUAUGGAGAAGAGUGGGGUGAUCUCAGAGUGUGUUCACCAGUUAUGUAUAUAAUCUCCAGCCCUCGGUAAUAAAACAAUCGGGAGUUGUCACUUUACACUGUUAACUGUGACUCUUCAAAACUCAAUAAAGCGAAGCUCUUGAUCA